GCUUGUCUCAAAGAUUAAGCCAUGCAUGUUCAAGUAUAGCAAGUGUACAGUGAAACUGCGAAUGGCUCAUUAAAUCAGUUAUAGUUUAUUUGAUAAUUGAAAAUUACAUGGAUAACCGUGGUAAUUCUAGAGCUAAUACAUGCUAUCAAGCCCGACUUCUUGAAGGGUUGUAUUUAUUAGACUUAAGCCAAUAUUCCUUGUGUCUAUUGCGAUGAUUCAUAAUAACUGAUCGAAUCUCAAAUUUGAGAUAAAUCAUUCAAGUUUCUGCCCUAUCAGCUUUCGAUGGUAGUGUAUUGGACUACCAUGGCAGUAACGGGUAACGAAGAAUUAGGGUUCGAUUUCGGAGAGGGAGCAUGAGAAACGGCUACCACAUCUAAGGAAGGCAGCAGG
rnacentral:rRNA from 1 species